AUUUUUUUCCCAGCAACCAACUCAACAGGCCAGCCCUCCCCCCGGCCCUAUCAAGUAGAAGCAUUAAGCAGAGUCCAUUUUUCUUGGGGGAAAAAAAUAAAUAACAAAUCCAAUCAAGAAAAUAAAAAUUCUCUUUUUUUUCUCAUUUUCACCCGAGUCAAAGUCGACGAUCAAGCAGUGCGAGAGGAUCACUGCGAUCGGAGAGUGAGCCGUCGAUCGGAUCCUCUCGAGUCUCGACCGAACCAAUUCCUAUAAAUUUAAUACAGCGAAAAAAGGAGAAGGGAUAAUGGAGGACGCGAGGGCGAUCAAGCUAGGGUUUUGAGAGAAAUUUUGAGGGAAAUUUCUUCCUAUUUUUUAUAUGAAAGUGCGGCGAAAUGUUUUUUCAGUUUUACCACCCCGGAAGCACAAACAAUGGAGAUUGGCUGAAGAUGACAAGAAAAAAUUCUCAGACAGGUUCAAUGGGUGUCUUUAGCUGUUCCCAAACAUAGCCUUUCCAUCAUGCAUCUCCAUAAAAUUCGGAGAAGAUGGUGUCGUUGUCGCCGCCGUCGACGAUGAAGACCCAGAUCCGGUGGUGGUGGCAGUGCUCUCGACUGGGCUGUGCCCGAGCUGGGCGAGGUAUGCAGCAUGACGCAUUCGGACGUGGACCAUUUCAGCCUGCGCGAUGGCAAGCUGAGUUUGGAGGAGUUCAAUCUGUUGCUGGAGGGAUGAGAUUGCACCUACGCAGCCAUAGACUGGGUCGCGGACGCGAGCGUUUGCCUCAUACACCAUGCUGCUCACGGCAUCGCUCCGGUGUUGCACCGGCAGUUCCUGUAGAAUCACCAGUGAAUAUUUGCAGUCUAUUGUUUUAGGAUAUAAGAAAGAUAUCGCUAUUUCAAUUAUAAUUGUUUAUUAUUUAGUGGACACAGUAAUAUAUACGUGAGUGAAUAAAUAUGUAUGCAAAUCAAUGUGGAUACUAAUUGCAAUGACAAAUUAUGGUCAAACAGGAAAUGUUAGUACAAAACAGGGAACAGAUUCAUGAUUCUGA